ensembl:lncRNA
AUGUGCUCCGUCUUCGGCUGUGACUCGGAGCGUCGCGGUGCGCCGCGGUUCAAACUACCGCAGGACCCGGAGAUGCGACUCUUGUGGGUUCAGUUUCUGGCCACAGUAAAUAUGCAGCGGUUCAAAGAAGCGUCCUGGACGGACAUCACUAUUUGCAGCGAACACUUUGGAGAGGACUGCUUUGACCACCGGACCCCGGCGCAUCCAGGUGUGAUCAACCCCAGCGCUGUCCCGUCGCUGGGUCUCCGGUCCGGGGAGCACGAGACGGAUCCGCAGAGCCCAGCACGUGCGGAGCCUGAGGAAACUACAGAAGUUGCUUGUCUGCGUGAUCAACUUAAAACAUGUGAUGCCCCUACUACCUUUUCUGAAGACUCAAGGGCCGUCCGGAGCCGCUCAAUCCCAAGAGCCGUCUCCUGUUCAACGGAUACUUCAAAUACAUUAGUGUCUCCAUCCGGCCAGAAACGUAUGGACUUUGAUUUGAUCGGAGAAAAAGCCGCUCUCCUGCAGAUGAAAGGGAAGUAUGUGGUGAAUGAAGCGCGCCUCCUCCGGUUGUUCCGCCACACGUGCCCGUCGUGCGGGUCUGAAGUGAAGAUGGAGAAGGUUACCUCCGGGCUGCUCGUCGUCUUCAACCAGCGGUGUCUUCAGUGUGAUUACAGGAGCCAGUGGAGAAGCCAAGUUAACGCCAGCGUCCCAGCAGCUGAAGAACAACAGCUGCCAGAAGUAGAAGCAACUCCAGCGACCCGACAGGCUGUGCCAUCCGGAGUCACAGGGGCCCAUCAGGCUGCUGCUGUUAUUGAGCCAGUCGAUCAAUCAAGUGAUCAGGGGGACUUGGA